rnacentral:rRNA from 1 species
UACGAAGGGGGCUAGCGUUGUUCGGAAUUACUGGGCGUAAAGCGCGCGCAGGCGGUUCUCCAAGUCAGUGGUGAAAGCCCGGAGCUCAACUCCGGAAUUGCCAUUGAAACUGUUGAACUUGAGGACGAGAGAGGUGAGUGGAAUUCCAGUGUAGAGGUGAAAUUCGUAGAUAUUGGGAAGAACACCGGUGGCGAAGGCGGCUCACUGGCUCGUUUCUGACGCUCAGGCGCGACAGCGUGGGGAUCAAACAGG